AACGAACGCUGGCGGCAUGCUUAACACAUGCAAGUCGAACGGAAAGGCCCUGCUUUUGUGGGGUGCUCGAGUGGCCAACGGGUGAGUAACCCGUGAGUAACCUGCCCUUGACUGUAGGAUAACCUCAGGCAACUUGGGCUAAUACCGGAUAGGAGCUCCUGCUGCUUGGUGGGGGUGGGAAAGUUUCGGCGGUUGGGGGUGGAAUAGCGGCUUAUGAGCUUGUCGGUGGGGUAGUGGCUUAGCAAGGCUUGGCCGGGUAGCCGGGCUGGGAGGGUGACCGGCCCCAUUAGGAUUGAGCUACGGCACAGACUCCUACGGGAGGCAGGAGUGGGGAGUAUUGCACAAUGGGCGGAAGCCUGAUGCAGCACCGCCGCGUGGGGGAUGACGGCCUGCGGGUUGUAAAGCGCAUUCGCCUGUGACGAAGCGUGAGUGACGGUAAUGGGUAAAUAAGCACCGGCUAACUACGUG
rnacentral:rRNA from 1 species